rnacentral:rRNA from 1 species
CCUUCAGGUGGGGAAUAACCCAGUGAAAACUGGGGCUAAUACCGCAUAACAUGACGAUGGCACAUGCUGUUGUCUUCAAAGGCGCAAGUCGCCAGAAGAGGGAUCCGCGGCGAUUAGCUUGUUGGCGAGGUAAUGGCUCACCAAGGCAUUGAUCGGUAGCCGGACUGAGAGGUUGGCGGCCACACUGGAACUGAGACACGGUCCAGACUCCUACGGGAGGCAGCAGUGGGGAAUCUUGCACAAUGGACGAAAGUCUGAUGCAGCAACGCCGCGUGGGGGAUGAAGCUUCUCGGAGUGUAAACCCCUUUCGACCCGGAAGAAAUGGCCGGAAGGGUUUGACGGGUACGGGGUAUAAAGAAAGCCCCGGUUAACUACGUGCCAGCAGCCGCGGUAAUACGUAGGGGGCCAGCGUUGCUCGGAAUUACUGGGCGUAAAGGGUCUGUAGGCGGUGCGGCAAGUCGAUAUUGAAAUCCCUAGGCUUUAACCUAGGGGCUGUAGCGAAAUGCCGUGCUAAGUGUGAGAGAGGCGAGUGGAAAUUACGGGUGUAAGCGUUGAAUUGCGUAGAUAUCCGUAGGGAACAUUCCGAGGC